GCUAACUCUUCUUUCUUCUUGCUGACCCUUCCUGCUCAUUUCUGUUUCUUUGUGCUCCUCCUCCUACUUUACCUUUUGUGCUCCUUGCUGUUUCUUCCAGCUCUUUGCUGCCCCUUUCUGUUCCUUGAUGUUCCUUCCUGCUCAUUUCUGUUCCUUCUCCUUCUCUUACUUUACCUUCCUGCUCCUUGCUCACCCUUCCUGUAGGCUGCCCCC